UGUAGUUAGGACUAUCUUGGGAGGUGGGAGUGACAGAAACACUAUUGCGUAAUGGAUGGAUAUUAUAGACGGGACCCAAAAAUCGGUGGUGAUGGAAGCCCAAGAUGGAAAAUGGGCUGCUAGGCGGGUGGUGGUGGAUAGUGGGAUAUGAAGAGAGCGGAUCUGGAUGAUAGGAGAGUCAAAGAUUCUGCUUGAUUUUCUUAUCAAGUCGUCGGAAGGACUGUUGAGGACGCUGUUGCCGUGUGUACUGUCAAUUUUGCUAUGAGGAAGAUGAUUGAGGUUAUCUAGUAUUUCGUUUGUCGUCUUGUCAAAUAAGCUGAUGCCAUCAAAAGAUCCAUGGCCUUCGCAAGGCACAGAACUAAUUGAGAGGAUGAAGAGAAAUCCUCCGAUGGUGAUGGAAGGUUGGUAUCGGCCACAUCCGAAUCAGGUGUUCGGAGAUUGGGAGGUGAUUCUUGCAAUACCAUUGAAUCUGAAGAUUCAGUAUUGGGAAAUUGUAUAGGUGAUGAUAAGAAUCCCUGUUGAUAUGAAGAGGCUGAUGUAUCUAGAAGAGCCUCUGGCGAGUGGCG